rnacentral:rRNA from 1 species
ACUCCUACGGGAGGCAGCAGUGGGGAAUAUUGCGCAAUGGAGGAAACUCUGACGCAGCCAUGCCGCGUGAGUGAAGAAGGCCUUAGGGUUGUAAAGCUCUUUCAGACGUGAUGAUGAUGACAGUAACGUCAA